UUUUAAACACCCAUGUAAAAUGAAGGCCUGCAAAGCUUACAGAUGUAAGUCUAAUAGCAUGAGAUGACAGUAGACAAAAAUCAGAGGGUGCAAUGUGUAGGCCUACUGAGUGGACAUUCUGAACCUUGUUUGCAGUCACCAGGACACAUGAGCAAGGAGCUAUUGAAAUUCUACAUUUUGAAAAGUGAAAAUGGACAAACUAAAGGGUGUGCAACAUAGAACAGUAGUCAGUGGACAUUCGGAACCUUGUUUGAAGAGCAGUAACAGUGUAGGUCUCUUGGCCCCGCCCCUCUCAGUCCUCAACACCCCGGAACCUGUCCGUCCCUCCCGGAUCCUCCCAUUGGACAGCAGCCUGCUGUUUGAGUUCCUGCUCUUCCUCUACCUUGCUGGUGGCACUGUUCAUUCAGCACCACCCAUCAGGAUGACAUAGAGCUAAGUCUCCAGUUGAGCGGGGGUUGCACCCAGAGUACGGAUCGGUGGGGCAGAAUGGGACCCUCUAACCUAACCCUAACCCUACCACUACCAUCCAACCAGCUGUGUCUGAUCAGCACCUGGAGUGUGGCCAACCAAUGACUUCCCCACCAUUUACCUGUGGACCCAGAGAAACUUCCCAGUCUGGCCCGGAACACAGAGUUGUUGUUCCAGCACCCUGCCACCAGGUGGGGCAGGCAUGUUAAGAAUCCAGGGUGGCGAGGAGGGAAGAGGGACUCCAUGAUACAAUUGGCAACCAAGGAGGUCACUUGACCUAGAUUGGGGUGAGAGUGGAGGAUGAGCUUCGAGAGGAGAAGAGAGGGAAGGGGAAAAGGAGAGCUGAAGGAGAAGUGUCGUACCCAGUGUAUAUUCCUGGAUGAUAUCAGUUUGGGACAGAGGCACAGAGCUUAGACAGUGUUUUACUCGUGCUUUUAAAAAAAAAUGUACCUCCGCUUUUCCUUCAUCUCUGUAUUUCUGUACAAGUUAUUUUUUUCCAUUGUCAUUAUCCUUCCCCUUUGACAACUUACACAUCAAAUAACAUUUUAUUGGUGACAUACACAGAUUUAGCAGAUGUUAUUUGUAGGUGUAGCAAAAUACUUGUGUAUUUUGCUCCAACAGUAUCUAACAAUACACAAACAUCUAAAGUACAAGAAUGGAGUUAAGAAAUAUAUAAAUAUUAGGACAAACAAUGUCAGUGGCAUUGACUAAAAUACAGUAGAAUAGAAAACAGUAUUUACAUAUGAGAUGAGUAAAGCAUAGACUAAAAUACAGUAGAAUAGAAUACAGUAUAUACAUAUGAGAUGAGUAAAGCAUAGACUAAAAUACAGUAGAAUAGAAAACAGUAUUUACAUAUGAGAUGAGUAAAGCAUAGACUAAAAUACAGUAGAAUAGAAUACAGUAUAUACAUAUGAGAUGAGUAAAGCAUAGACUAAAAUACAGUAGAAUAGAAUACAGUAUUUACAUAUGAGAUGAGUAAAGCAUAGACUAAAAUACAGUAGAAUAGAAUACAGUAUAUACAUAUGAGAUGAGUAAAGCAGUAUGUAAACAUUAUUAAGGUGACUAGUUAGUAAAUACAGUAGAAUAGAAUACAGUACAUAUGAGAUGAGUAAAGCAGUAUGUUAACAUUAUUAAAGUGACUAGUUAGUAAGUACAGUAGAAUAGAAUACAGUAUAUACAUAUGAGAUGAGUACAGCAGUAUGUAAACAUUAUUAAGGUGACUAGUUAGUAAAUACAGUAGAAUAGAAUACAGUACAUACAUAUGAGAUGAGUAAAGCAGUAUGUAAACAUUAUUAAAGUGACUAGUUAGUAAAUACAGUAGAAUAUAAUACAGUAUAUACAUAUGAGAUGAGUAAAGCAGUAUGUUAACAUUAUUAAAGUGACUAGUUAGUAAAUACAGUAGAAUAUAAUACAGUAUAUACAUAUGAGAUGAGUAAAGCAGUAUGUUAACAUUAUUAAAGUGUCUAGUGUUCCAUUAUUAAAGUGACUAGUGUUCCAUUAUUAAAGUGACUAGUGUUCCAUUAUUAAAGUGACUAGUUAGUAAAUACAGUAGAAUAUAAUACAGUAUAUACAUAUGAGAUGAGGAAAGCAGUAUGUAAACAUCAUUAAAGUGACUAGUGUUCCAUUAUUAAAGUGAUCAAUUAUUCUAUGUCUAUGUAUAUAAAAUAGAAUGUUACAUGCGCCGAAUACAACAACCUUACCGUGAAAUGCUUACUUACAAGCCCUUAACCAACAAUGCGGUUUUAAGAAAAUACAAAAAAAGUAAGAGAUAAGAAUAACAAAUAAUUAAAGAGCAGCAGUUAAUAACAAUAGCAAAAUAACAAUGUGGAGGCUAUAUACAGGGUAUUAUGGUACAGAGUCAAUGUGGAGGCUAUAUACAGGGUAUUACGGUACAGAGUCAAUGUGGAGGCUAUAUACAGGGUAUUACGGUACAGAGUCAAUGUGGAGGCUAUAUACAGGGUGUUACGGUACAGAGUCAAUGUGGAGGCUAUAUACAGGGUGUUACGGUACAGAGUCAAUGUGGAGGCUAUAUACAGGGGGUACUGGUACAGAGUCAAUGUGGAGGCUAUAUACAGGGGGUACCGGUACAGAGUCAAUGUGGAGGCUAUAUACAGGGGGUACCGGUACAGA